GAGACACACAGAGACAGAGAGCUUGAAAAAUGCUUCCAAUGCAGGCAGCUUGUUUAAGCACAGAGCGUGUUGCAGCCAGCUGGAUCUUUGGAGAAAAAGAUGAAUUUCUACUCAUUUAAGCACGAAUAAGAAGCCCAGGAAGUUGUGGCUGACAGAAAAACACCUUGUCUUCUGCUAACUAGGACACUCAUGAUCAUCCUGCAACCUUGUGAGCCCUGCUUUUAAAUAGUGAAAGAGACAUGCUGUGACCAUACUGUGAUGCAGAUCCUGUGAGAGUGACUGUAAUAAAUAAACCCAGUGAACAAUUAUCUCCCAAACACAGCUUCACUGACACAAAUCAGUGGAGUAUAGUUCUUCACUUAUGUUUAAGAGCUGGUGGUCGCAUACCAAAUGUGGAGUGUAACCAACGGGGAGUACAAGCAAUGCAUUUGUGAUCAGAAAUGGAGGAGCAGGAGCAAAAAACCUACGAAACAGCUUCAUAGUAAUAAUUUGGAGGGCAAAAAAAGUUUUGUGGUGUGACUGCACUGAUAAAAGUAAUCUUUUUGAUUGUCUGUAUUUUUCCCCAAGUUUUCUGGUAGAUAGCUAGAUAGCUAAAUAGAUAGAGUGGGCUUUUUUUAAAACGAGUUUUUUGUCUUUUGAUGCUGGCACUUGGAAUUAAAAUGCAUUUUGUCCUUCGGCAAGGGAACUUUAUUGUCUUUUUUCCUUCUGUCUCCAAAUCUUUUCUUUUUGACUGGAAAGCAUUUACUUCUCUGUACAUUUUCAUUUGACUCCUCGUGCGGCAAAACGUCUCUAUAUACCAGCUGAGAAGGCAUUACUCUAUUAUUGAUGAAAAGUAGUAUGUUCCCUGGAAACUGGAAGAAAGUUCCAAGGGUAGAAUGCCGCAGAAACAAAGGGAUCCCACCAUCACUGACUUGCCCUCUCUACAGUGUUAUGUAACUCUGUGACUGUUUAAAUCUAGAUGCUUCAGACCUGGAACAAUAAUGAAAUGGAUCCCAACUAACAGCAGGUUUUAUAGUGCAGGUGUGGAUGUUUGAGACAUUGUCCAAGUGGUGGCCAGAUGCCCUGACAGGAACUGAGAUCUCAUCAAUGCAGUCCGUAUUAUUCAGGAUAAAAUUCUUGUGACUGAAUGAUGGGGAGUUACUUUGAGCUGAAAUAAACCUUGAUCAAACUCCACUGACCAUAUUGCCUAACUCCCUGUUGACUACAGAGGCAGCCAAGAGAGAUUUACUCUGGUACAGCUGUACACCCUG